rnacentral:rRNA from 1 species
UACGAAGGGGGCUAGCGUUGCUCGGAAUCACUGGGCGUAAAGCGCACGUAGGCGGCUUUCUAAGUCAGGGGUGAAAUCCUGGAGCUCAACUCCAGAACUGCCUUUGAUACUGAGGAGCUCGAGUUCGGGGAGAGGUGAGUGGAACUGCGAGUGUAGAGGUGAAAUUCGUAGAUAUUCGCAAGAACACCAGUGGCGAAGGCGGACUCACUGGCCCGAUACUGACGCUGAGGUGCGAAAGCGAUGGGGAGC